rnacentral:lncRNA from 1 species
CUGCUCCUUCAACAACAUCAAAUGCUGCUCCAUCAUCAUCUUCAACCACUGAAGAUAAUACAACCACAGCUGUGAGCCCCACAACCACUCAGAUAUCAUCAGAAACUACAACAACAGCAAAAGCUGCUCCAACAACACAAUUGUCAAAAACAAAUGAAACUUUAACAACCAAAAGAGUGAACCCCACAACCAUGCCUGUGUUCCCAGCACCUACAACUGCACCUCCAGCAACAGAAAAUGCUACUCCAGGAACAACAGCACAGUCUUCAACAAAUGAAGUUUCUACAACCACAACUGUGAAUUCGACAACCAUGCCUGUAUUUCCAGAACCCCCAACAAAUGCUGCAUUACCAACAAUAGCAGUAACUUCAACAACUGACGCUUCUACAAUAACAGCUGUGAACCCCACAUCAAUGCCUUUCUCCUCAGGAAAUACAAGUGCACCUCUAACAACAACAAGUUCUGCUCCAACACCAACUUCAAUCACUAAAGGUUAUACAACCACAGCUGUAACACCCACAACCUUGAGUGUUUUCUCAGGACCUACAAUUGCACCUCCAGCAACAGAAAAUGCUGUUCGUACCACAACACUUCCUUCAAUAUCUUCAUCUUCUUCACUGUUAUCACCAAGCACAACAUCAAUAUCUCCAACCACAAUACCACUUUUCACAACAACCAGAACUGCUGCAGCAACAACAUUUGUCACACCCACAACCAUGCCAAUGUUCUCAGAAUUUACGAAAUCAUUUUUAACAACCACAUCUUUGCUAAAUGCAGCUACAAAUGCAGUGACUCCAACUCGACUUUCAGAAACACAAAACCCAGCUCCAACUGCAUUUGUAUCUCAAAGCACAAAAACUGUGUCUUUAGCAACCACUGAAACGACUGCACCAACAAUUAUAAUUGUAACUCAAGAAACCACUAUGCCAUUGUCAAUGUCAGCAGCUGGUGCUCCCCCAACUACAAGUGUGAGUCCACUCUCUAUGUCUGGAGCUACCACAAGUAUGCCUAUAACCUCAGCUGCUACAAUUGCAUCAACUCAAACAACAG